rnacentral:rRNA from 1 species
ACCCGCUGAACUUAAGCAUAUCAAUAAGCAGAGGAAAAGAAACCAACAGGGAUUACCUCAGUAACGGCGAGUGUAGCGGUAAUAGCUCAAAUUUGAAAUCUGGCUCUUUCAGGGUCCGAGUUGUAAUUUGUAGAGGAUGUUUCGGGCACAGUUACGGUUUAAAUUUCUUGGAACAGAAUGUCAUAGAGGGUGAGAGUCCCGUCUUGAACCGAUUACUUCGUCCAUGUGAAACUCCUUCGACGAGUCGAGUUGUUUGGGAAUGCAGCUCAAAAUGGGUGGUAAAUUUCAUCUAAAGCUAAAUAUUGGCCAGAGACCGAUAGCGCACAAGUAGAGUGAUCGAAAGAUGAAAAGCACUUUGAAAAGAGAGUUAAACAGUAUGUGAAAUUGUUGAAAGGGAAGCGCUUGUAAUCAGACUUGAGCUUAACAGUUCCCCCUUCGUUCUCGUUGGGUUAUUCUGUUUUGUCCAGGCCAACAUCAGUUCGAGUGGUUGGUUAAAGACUUUAGGAAUGUAUCUACCCUCCGGGGUCGACUUAUAGCCUAGAGUGUCAUGCAGCCUACUUGGACUGAGGAACGCGCUUCGGCUCGGAUGUUGGCGUAAUGGUUAUAAGCGACCCGUCUUGAAACACGG